rnacentral:rRNA from 1 species
ACCCUGGGGAUAACAGGCUUAUCUCCCCCAAGAGUCCACAUCGACGGGGAGGUUUGGCACCUCGAUGUCGGCUCAUCACGUCCUGGGGCUGUAGUAGGUCCCAAGGGUUGGGCUGUUCGCCCAUUAACGUGGUACGCGAGCUGGGUUCAGAACGUCGUGAGACAGUUCGGUCCCUAUCCGUCGCAGGCGUAGGAAAUUUGAGAAGAC